rnacentral:rRNA from 1 species
UAGGGAAUAUUGCAAAAUGGGCGAAAGCCCGAUGCAGCAACGCCGCGUGGGCGAUGAAGGCCUUCGGGUCGUAAAGCCCUUUUUGAGGGGAUGAGGAAGGACAGUACCCUCAGAAUAAGCCUCGGCUAACUACGUGCCAGCAGCCGCGGUAAAACGUAGGCGGCGAGCGUUAUCCGGAUUUACUGGGCGUAAAGCGCGUGCAGGCGGAUUGGAGAGUUGGAUGUGAAAGCUCCCGGCUUAACUGGGAGAGGUCGUUCAAUACUUCCAGUCUUGAGUGCAGUAGAGGGAAGUGGAAUUCCGGGUGUAGUGGUGAAAUGCGUAGAUAUCCGGAGGAACACCAGUGGCGAAAGCGGCUUCCUGGACUGUAACUGACGCUCAGACGCGAAAGCUAGGGUAGCAAACG